rnacentral:rRNA from 1 species
AUGUCCGAUCCGAAUUACAUGACUUCACGCGCAAUCCUCUCCACCACGAACGACAACGUCGACAAGAUAAACAUACGCAUGGUAGAGCAUUUUCGGGGAGAAGAAGUAAUCUACCAUAGCUUUGACAGUGCAGAAGACGACCCGUAUGGCUACUACGCUCCCGAGUUCCUAAAUGGAUUGACUCCCAACGGUCUACCUCCGCAUGCACUCAAACUGAAGCUCAACUGCCCUGUCAUACUUCUGAGGAACAUUGAUCCGGCUAAUGGUCUGUGUAACGGGACGAGACUUGUGGUGCGUGGUUUCGAGAGGAACGCCAUCGACGCAGAAAUCAUGAUCGGACAACACGUGGGUAGGAGGGUAUUCCUUCCUCGAAUACCCCUAUGCCCGUCUGACAACAACAUGUUUCCAUUAAAGUUCAAGAGGAUGCAAUUUCCUGUAAGGCUUAGCUUUGCUAUGACGAUUAACAAGGCUCAAGGCCCGACGGUUCCGAUUGUUGGCGUGUACCUACCUAAUCCGGUGUUCUCUCAUGCUCAACUCUAUGUCGCAUUGUCUCGAGCCACCGCAAAGAGAAAUAUAAAGAUCCUCAUUGAGAAGGAGAAGGAGAAUGCCAAGAAGCAAAGCAGUAAAUCUAAGAAGCGAAAAAGACCUGCCUUGGCCUUACAGACCUCGAUGAAGAACAUCGUCUAUAAGGAAGUCCUU